rnacentral:lncRNA from 1 species
AAGCCCAUUCUCAGAAGGACUGUUCAGUGUGGCUGACCUUCACUCAGCAGGGUCUGUGACUCCCAGGUGUGAAGCCACUGGCGGAGUAUCCAGGGGCCGAGGGCUGAUGCAUUUCUCCUCAUCCACCUCACUCUGACCCCGGAUGCCAGUUAACCCAGGAGAGGUCCCUGAACACAACCCCGAUGCAAGCAAAGGUGGUGGACAAUACGGAGGAGGAUGAAGAGGCAUGGUCCACCACAACAGGUUGCCCAGAGAGGCUGUAGAGAGUUUAAAAGGAAGGAGUGAGAGGGAUCACCAGACCAUGAAAAGGCUGAAGGACAAAACCGUGGAGAAAGUACAAGCAUACCUGGGAGAUACCGAGGGUUCAGAUCCAGACCACCACAAUCAAGCAUCCCCUGUGGGAGGAAGGAGGAGCUCAAGGUCAGGAGAGCACUGUUCCCUGGGAGGCAUGGAAAUUAAGGCUCAAGAAGGUGACUUGCCCAAGACUUCAUAGCCCACAACUGCUGGAGGUGGGAUUUGAACUCGUCUGCGAGGUUCGAAAUCACCCCAGCCCAGUGCCUGCUCCUGACAGAGACUCAGCAAGUGCAGCUCUGCGUGUUUCCUCCAUCACAGAGGCCUGCUUAGGGGAAAAAUCUUGCUGAAGAAAAGUGGCCGAUGGUUUCGAGAGAAGAGACGCUUAUUCAUGUAAUUCUCAAGAAUCCCAUCUCCGGCUUAGAAGGACACCUUUUCUGAUUUCCCAUUCAAAGGGACUGACGUACACUCAGGGGCUGAGGCAGCAGCUGUUUUUGCUGUGCACAGACUGGAGAGCGAUGUGUGAGUGAAGUCUGUGGCCACUUCUCUCCUCCCCCGAGCCUUCUGGGGUUUGGGUUUAUGACUCCAGAGGCGGAGAAGCGUGUUCCCUUUCUGUGCGGAUCCCGUCAUUGACAGAGUCUGUUUUAGAAGAGCAUUUUUAGAUGGCAGCGAACGUUCCAGACCCCAAAGCAUUCUCUUUACAGCACCGUCUAGCUUGGGUGGGGAUAGGGUGGGUUUGUGAACACGUGUGUGCGUGAGAGUGUGAGUGUGUGCAAGUGUGUGCACGUGUGUGUCAGUCCCUCUGUCUGGCUCCCACUGCUAGCCACCUCUGUCAUAUCCUGACUAUUUCGCCGGGGCAUCGUCCAGCCAUAGGAAUCUUCAGCAAACCUACAGUUCAGACGAACGCCCUCGUUUCUGCCCUGAGAAGAAAGUCCGUUGAGUCUGAGGGCUCCCGAGUCAUUCUCUCAAGGCAUUCAUUCAGUUUUGUUUCCCCUGGUGCUACCCUCUCUGAAGUCGUUAUUACUCAUUAGGUGUAUUGCACAUACAGAAAAAGUAGGUCAAGGAUUAAAAAAAAAAAGAAAAAACAUCUCUGGGAGAAGCACAAGUAUUGUGUAAAGCUAUUUUGAACUUGCGUGAGAUUUUUCAAGGGGGAAAUGUUUUGUGCAGAGACGGCUGCUGCCACAGCUGACUUACCAAUGAAUGCCCGUGUCUGAGCCUUUCAUACGCUAACCACGUGACCUUGGAAUUCCAUUUUGAAAUGAUAAUUGUGCCCAGUGGGGUGAGCAGCCUCUCAAUCCAGGUUCUAUACAAUAUAGGUCACCUCGAGGAUCCUCAGUAGAACAGGAACAAGAGAAUCCUGAGAAAUCUCUGUAAAGAAACAGAAAGAAUGAGAGAGAAAACUGUGUGUCUAACCACCGGGCCCCUGGGCCCUAUGUGCCACCCAGGUUUGGAGCAAGGCUGCGGGGCAGAUGAUGUCCAGGAGAGCCUCAGAAAGUCCGGGCUCUAGAAAAAAAUACGUUCCAGCUCACUCUGCUCUGACCCUGCAUCUGCUCUGUGCUGAAAGCUUUGUUGCUGCCAUGAAUAUAUUUAA